ACAUGUUUGACACUAUAUUUACCAGAUACGUCAUCUAACCUAUACUAAAAGUUGGAUAUAGUCAAAGGAGAAGGUGUCCACAUAGGAUCAAAAAUUCAACCAAUGGAAAUGUUCCUUUUUACCACGUCAGACCGGCAAAAACCUAUGUACUUACGAGUUUAGAGAAAUGGGCUGCGACAUGUAUUAUAAUGAUUUUCGUUUAAAUGAAAUGGACCUUUAUUACCCAAAAUAAAUAAAAGCUUCUUUGUUGUAAUACAGUUAACAGUUUGAGUUAGCCCAUAUGGUGAAGCUUCAUCGUCGAAGUAAACGUAGGUUUUCUUCAUAGUUUCAUACAGAUCUGGAUAACACAGCUUGAUCCUUUGUCUUUUCGUAACCUGUUUAUUUCCGGCAAACUCUACAUCUCCCCAUCUUUAAUCACUUCAUCAUUAAUGGUCCUGAUUCUAUCACCUACGUAAAACCUUCUUAUAUAAACUUUAUCUCUAACGGAGCAAAUCUGCAUCUCGAAAAAACUGAUCGAUUCCUUUACCAGUUUAACCUUACAACAUUUUUCUCGAACAUGUCUCUUUCUGCUUCUCCAUUGCUCAAACUGGCGUCCAUCACCCAAGCUUUAACUGUAGUUCGCCGCCUCCACUGCUUUUGGGAUUCCCACAACAUUAUGGGAAUCGCGCUCUCUUCCUUGAUAAAAAGGUAAAGACAUUUUCAAUCUAUCACACUUAUCUUAUAGAAAUGUCUUUAAUUGAUUGUUUGAUUCUUGAUUGAAAUAUAUUAUCUGUUUGAUUUUGCAGAAUUCCGUGAUCCGUCCUCUCAUACACGGUAUUUGAGAUUUUCUUCCGUCAAACCUUAGAUCACUCCUUGAAAGUGUCUUCGUCCUCUGUAAUUGCUGCUCCUCACACCGGCCACCGAAUCUUACUUUUAGCCGAGCAUUGCUACCAUCAAAGCUUUCACAACCAGGUACUACACCAGUCUCACUUUUAAAAACUGCCAAAAAAAUUAAGUAAUAGUUUAUAUCAAAUGCUUCCUUGCUAAAUCUUAUUAAACAGAUGCUUUGGUAACCAUUUGUAGGGAAUUUAACAUCAUAUAAAUAGAUUUCUACUGUUUACAGCUUGAGAGGUGCGGCAACAGAGCUUUUUCCAUGUGUACAGACAAUGGUAGAGAUUCAAAAGAAAGAACUUGUGACAUACCCAAUUCAAAAUGAGAGCCAUUCCUCUCCAAGUAAACCGACCAGGUAACUUUGACUAUAUUAUGAUUUUUAAAUUUUAACAUAUAUUGUGUCAUUUAAUCGCCUUAUUUGAUGUCUUCUCAAUGGCCUUUGUGAAGAUCCAGUGAGCCGGCUUCCUGUGCAGAGCUCGGAUCGUCAGUGUGCUGCAGAAAAAUGGAUGGUCUAUCUUUCUUGCACUAUUUGCAGCAGUUGGACAAAUCACAGACUUUGCCCUGGUUCAACAAAUGUGUGACACCAAACAUGUGUUAUCAGAUUCUGAUAAGUCAGCUAUAACAAUAUCCACCUUUGCCUAACAGAUCCAACUUAGCACAUGGUAACAUGUUGAGCUAGCUGGUGAAGAUGGUGAAGACAGUGCUACGUUUGUCGUGUUUGACACAAAGAUGACGUAACUCACCAAGAUAGAUGCAGCCUCACUGGCUCUUGAGGAGGGUUCGCUUCCACUAACACACUCCAUUUAUCUGACGUUUCUGUCGCUAUUGUCGUUAGCAAACAAAGUCUCAAAUGACACCUCACCUUCACGGUGUCUGCAAUUAGUGAAGACGUGGCUAUGUAGACUCAUUCAAGGUUUCAGUUUGAAGCAUCAACACAGUCCUACAAGCGGCAAGCCAGAUUGACAACGAGAAAGCUACUUAUGGCAUCCAACCGUGAGUGAAUCUUGGAAGUGUAUCAAGCCAUCAUUCUCACCAAGUUUUCUUCUCAUGCAUUACAAACUCUAUCCAAUAAGUAUUUCCCUUUGUUUCAGUUUCUCAUGUUUGGUUUAUAAAAAUUUCUACAACCAAGUUCAUACUGAGAAAAAAGAAGUUCAUACUGUGAGCGUGUUAUUUUCAUUUUAAUUAAGGGAAGCUAGGUAGCUAUUUACUU